rnacentral:lncRNA from 1 species
UUUCCUUCGUCACAAAGAGAUACAUGUCAUGAUUUGUUUCCUUGUAUGCCAUUUAUUUGUUUCCUUUAGAGUAGAAGUAAAUUUCAGUGAGAUUAGCAAGUGUGAUUAGUGAAGAUUUGGCGGUGUUAACGAGAGAUGUGCUAUCAAGGUUAUAAGUGAACUAUAUAUAUUUAAUUAGAUAAUGUUUUGUUAAUUGGAUGAAAAUAAUUAUAGAAACCAAUAGUGAGGAGGUCAUGAAAAAAUAAUUGAUAGUUUUUCUUAUUAUUC